UAAAACCCAUGAUCCUCACUACAUGUUGUCUUUUUCUUUAAGAAAUACCUUGAGAUUGUUCUUGUCUCAUCUCCAUCUUCAUCUCAAUGAAGAUGAAAUACUCAUUUUAGUAGAAAUUUCAUAGAAAUCAACACAUGAGUUCCAAGUUAUUCCAAGUCAGUUUGGAAUAAAUUUACAACAUCUAUAUAAAUUUGAAUGAUGUAGACGUACAAGGCAUAUUACUUACUAGAUGUACAAGGCAUAUUAUUCAGUCUACUACUGAAAUACACAUUAUUACCCACUUCUUAUAUAUUCUGGUCUAGUGAGCCCCACAGCCACAGCAUCUUCCUGAGCCCUAUUUAGAUCACAAGUAGUAACAGGCCCCUGCUUACUGUGGGGGUUGUUCGCAGGAACACAGGUCUAACGAGUAGUAAUGACGUGGGUGAGCAUGAACAUCAUGCCAUUGACUUUACAGAGCAACAUAAAUAACCUCACUCAUGAAACCUGCCUUGGUGUGUUUGUAUCCAGGCGGAAAGCUACAUCAGUCUCCUGAAGGACCUGAGGUCCAGGAAUAUUGGGAACAGUGGUGCUGAAAAUUCUAGCAAUUGUUAUCUCGAUUCCCAUCACGACAGACCUAGAAUCUACCUCCUACUACAUUCUAGAGUCACUCUCAGGUAAAGGGGUAUGUGUUUGGCUUUAAGGCAUUUGUAAUCUACCUGAAGGCAAAAAGUGACCUUUUUCCAGUUGCUUUCUUUCCACAUCCCAUGAAAUUGAGCAUGCUGGAUUGAAGCGUUCAUUAGAACGGGUUCCAGUUGUAUUUCUCUUCUAACCUGGUCUUCUUCUCUGCCUAGCCCAUCAAACAUAUCAACCUUCUCCUGAUCCUAAAAAAGCAAAACAAUAAAACAUCAUAAUAAAAAUUUUACAUUUCUUCAACAAUGCCUCCAUUCACAUUCUUGCCUCAUAUCCAGCUUUUUAUUUUUAUUUUUACAGACAGGGCCAUGCUCUAACCCUGUAGAAUACCUGGGCUCAAGUGAUCCUCCCACCUUAGCCUCUGGCGUAGUUGGAACUAUAUGCGUGAGCCACCCCACCUGGUCUUUAGCUUUUUAUUGGUGUCAUACAUUUUUUUAUACUUCCUUUUAUUUAAAAAUACUUUUAAGGAAUUUUUUACAUUUGGGAACAAUCCCAGCCUUUCAGAAAAUGUGCAAGUAUAGUAUAAAGUCCUUUUUCUCCCAGAACAACUUAAGAGUAAAUUAGCGGCAUUACUCCUAAAUAAUUAUUAUUUGGGAAAGACCCCAGGGAUGUUUCAUCUUCAUCUUUCCCACAGCAGGAAAGGACACUGCUGUAUCCAGAGCUCUGCAUUUGGAACUGCCGAGCCUCGGGUGUGUAUAUCUUAACUUUACUAGGCAAUGCCCAAGUGUUCUCCAAAGUGACUGUCAGACUUUUUGAAACAAUGGUGUGGCCUCCACUUUUCUCAUCAACGAAUCUUUCUUAAACUCCACAUGGUGACCUGCUGUUGCUCUCAGGAAGGGUCCCUAUGAAGAUCAUGUCAGAUCCCUUACUGUCUACAGUAAAAUAUUCUUAUUGUCUAUCCUCAUCCUCCUUUUUUUUUUUGUGGUACUUGCAUUUUUUUAAACCAUCUUGUAUUUUUUGAAACUGUUCUUAUAAUUAGUUUCAUUAACUUGUCUGCUCAAUUGUUGAACAAAAAUGUAUUGGUUGAACACCUGUUAUGAUUUGGGCAACACAUAUCCAGUGGUGAAUAAAACAGAGAAACUCUCUGCUUUUUGGAACUAACAUCAAACUGAAUUAAUUAUCCUAAACCACAGAUCAGAUCAUGUUAUCAAAUACUUUUGAUACCUUCUAACUUCAUGUUAGCAAAUACUUUUAAUACCUUCUUCUAAUUUAAGAGAAAACCUUUACAAUCUUUCAUUCUGCAGCCUUCUGAAAUGAUAAUAUCCUACCAGCCUUGUCCUCUGUUACUAUCCUGACAUCAGUGAAUUCUAAACAGUGGGCCAAGACCCCUGCCUGGGAGAACCAAGUUAGUAUGCCAGUGGAGCCAUGAAUCAGUGUAUAUUCCAGUAUAUGCCUUGUUUCUAAUUUCUACAUUGUUCAAAUUUAUAUAGAUUUUGUAAAUUUAUUCCAAAGUGAAUUCGGAGUAACUUGGAACUCAUGUAUUGAUUUCUGUGAAAUACUACUAAAAGUAUGGCAAAUACAUACAUCAAUCUGCUAGAGGAAAAGCUCUUGCUGACCUGAUGUUGGACCUAGUUACGUAACACAGACCCCUGUGAGAUAAUGACUUACAAUCAAGGCCUAAUAGAUGCACUUACAAGGGUCCUGAACAGAGCGAGUAUCUUUUGGAACAUUUUUGCACUGGUGAAAAGUUGUUCUGCUUUCGUAGGGCUUUGUGCCAUGAAGUCAGUGAAUAUGCCAAUCCACUGUGCCUGGUUCAGCAGCAGGGGUUGUCUGCUCCCACAGUACCUGCUGAGCAUGCGUCAAUCCUCUUUCAGUUGAAUAUAAUUCUUAGCCACAUUAUCUUGUCUAAUAGAAGCAAAAAGCAACCAGAAAGAUUUCCUGAGGAAUUGCUGGCACAUGCAAAUGGAAACUGCUCAUUUUAAUUUGGUUGUCAUGACGUUUCUUCAGUUACCUCAUUGACGGGAAUCAUCACACUUCCUUACACUGUUUUCAGCCGUAUUGUCUGGAAAACACAGACUUGUUUUCUUAUUUGGAUAGCCUAAGAAAAAACCAUGAACAAGUCUGGAUGUUAUGGUUCUCCCGAGUGUUGCACAGAUGCAGAAAAUGUCACUUGAAGCUUUAACCUAUCAAGAGUAUAAUUGAAUGGCAGUCAAACAUUCACUGGGUUUAUUUCUUUGCCAAAGAGUCAGUCCUGGCAUUGUCUUUGGAUGGUAUCUUCAUUUUGGAAAUUGAGAAAAAUACACCCACAAAUGAUAAAUGUGGAGGGUACUAAACACAUACAGCUAAGAGAAAUAAAAUAUAAAUACAUUCACGUGAGCCAGGCUUGGUGGCUCAUGUCUAUAAUCCCAGCACUUUGGGAGGCCAAGGUCGGAGGAUCACUUGAGGUCAGGAAUUCGAGACCAGCCUGGCCAACAGUGAAACUCUGUCUCUACUAAAAGCACAAAAAUCAGCUGGGCAUGAUGGCACAUGCCUGUAAUCCCAGCUACUCAAGAGGCUGAGGCAGGAGAAUCACUUGAACCCAGGAGGUGGAGGUUGCAGUGAGCUGAGAUCGCGCCAUUGCACUCCAGUCUGCACAAGAGUGAAACGCUGUCUCAGAAAAAAAGAAUGUAUAUUCAUAUGAAACCUUCUGGAAGGCAUGGAGACAAACACAGGUACAAACUGGAAAACUGUUGAGUUUGGAGGGCUUACAUUGAACAAAUUGCUUCCAUCUGUGAAAAGAUGUAACAUUACCCCUCCUGGGAGAAGCAGGCACCCCAAUCUUUUAAGACGCCUCAACAAUCAUGGAAAAAGAGACAAGGAUAUAAGAGAAGCAUGUUCAGGUACUUGGUUGGGUCUUGCUGUAUUUCUUAGGUUUAAAAGGGUAUGAAAUUUAUCUGCUAGAAGUAUUCUCUGUGUCUCUGAUCUUUGAUCUUAGGUAUACCCAUAGCUCUUCAAUUACACUGAAUUACACUCUCUAAUUUAUCCAUUUGCUAUUCUUCCUUAUAAACAUUUUAAGCAUAAGCCAUUUAGGCCCCCAAAUUCAUCAGAUACCUGUUUUUCCAAUGCUAAUUCACUUACAACUCUCUAAGAAGAUGGUAUCUCCAUACUAAGCACAGUUAGAUUUUUGUUACUUGAUAAGCAGUCAAACCAUGUGGCAAGUCUGUCUCAACCUAUUUUUUUUUUUUUGCAUUUCAUAUUUUUUGAUCCAGUAGAUAAGUUUUAGAAUGACAAGUUGACUCAAGGAAUCUAGGAACAAGAGCAAGGUGACUUUUGGAGUGUUUUCAUCUCAGAGUAAGCAAAGAAUCAAAAUCAGACCUGGAAGACUUCUCUAUUUCUGUUUCAGCAGAUUUUUUAUCAAACACAUCCCUAUCCAUAUUUUUUUAUGAAGAAUAAAGAAACUGGAAACAGCAGCUCUUUUGGAGUAUGAUGCUUGGAUUUGUUGAGUGGCUGGAUUCUAUGAUUAUAUUGGUUCUUAAGCUCCAGAGGACAGUGACCUUCAGAGUCCAUUGCCGAAGGCAAAUGUUCUCUAGAAGGGUCCUUUAAAAAAGGACCAAGCAAGCAGAUUCAGUCAUUUUUUAUGCAACUUCCUUUUGACCUUUCCCUUGGCAAACACAUCAGCAAAUUGCAUGUGGAAUGGAAAUGUGCUUGAUCUGGUCAAAUGACUUCUGUUGAUAUUUACUUCUCAAUGUUCAAGGGAGAAAUUGAGAGUAUUGUUUUAUUUAUUCUGAUUACAUAUGGUAACAAGACUAUAUAAUAUGAUUGUACACUAGAGAAGAACAGGUUUGAUAGCUAACUAGAAAGGCACUUUCAGGAUCCACUGAAAACAAAAAGAGGCUCUCUGACCCAGAUAGGAAAAGUAGAAAAACAGAGGGCAGAAAUAUGGAGAAUGAUUGUGAAAAGACUUGUUUUCUUGCACUCUGGGAACUUUACAGACUUUGGUCUUUUGUGGGAAGUAGACUACACAGGCAAGAGCAAUCUAUGCCUUCCUAAAAGAUAGGAGAUGAAGCUACCACUGGAUUAAAAUGACAACACAGAAGGACCAGAACCAGUAAAGAAAAGCGAGCUGACAAAAUGGGAGCUUAAAGAAGAUUCCCAGCCACUUUUAAGACUUAGUGAAUGCUGUUUGAUCUUAGGAAACUAAGGUCAUGUGCUUGUUUGAAAAAACAAAUGAAGUAUCUUUGAGAAGAGUGACUACAUUUUACAGAUGGAUUUCUCAGGAAUUCCCAGUUUCUGUAUGUAAGCCUGUCCAUGAGUGUGGAUGGAUCAAAAAGAGAUGGAUGACUAAUGAGAGUACGUGCAUCAAAAAAGAGAUGAGUGACAGAAAUAGUCAGCAAAGCAGCAUUUUAAAUAAACUGAUUUAUUUGCUAUAAAAUUUAUUGAUUCCCUAUUAUUUGCUCAUUAAAAGCAUUUGGGACUCAAAACAAAUCUGCCCUUUCAGGUAGUUUAUAUUCUUAUGGGGAAAGAGAGACAAUUGACCACAGUAAAUAAAACAUAUAAUAUAUAAGUUGAUGAGAAGUGCUAUGGAGAAAAGCAAAGAAGUUAGAAAAGUUCUCACUGAUAAAAUUAUAUUUGAGAGCAGACUUGAAGGAGGUGAAGGAACAAAGCCUGGGAUAAAAGGAGGUAAAAUAUUUGAGGCAGACAAAAGAAGAAGCAUAAAGACCCCGAGGUAGGGAAAGGCUUGGCACAUUCAAACAUCUUCAGAGUAAAAUAGGUGAGAUAAGAUGCAGAAGAAGUGAUAUUUUAAAAAGAUACUUAGGAAUCAUAUUAUGAAGGAUCUUGUAGGUGAUGUAUGUCAGUUAUCUAUUUCUUCAUCACAAACUACCCUCAAGCCUACUGGCAAUAAUAGCCAUUUAUUUUGCUAACAAAUCUGCAAUUUAAGCAGGGAUUGGUGGAAAAAGCUUAUCUUUGCUCCAUAUGGCAUCGCAUGGGGCAGCUUGACUAGGGGCUGGGGCAUCCACGUAAAUAAUAGCUUAGUCACAUCCUGGCAAGGUAGUACUGGCUGUAAUCUGUGAUCUUGGCCAGAACUAUGGGUUGUAGACCUCAUUUCUUCUCGUUAUUAUCUUUCUCUGGGUAUCUUCGGCUUCCUUACAGAUUGGUGGCUAGUUUCCAAGUGUGAGCUUCCCAAGGGAGCAAGGAGGAAAUGAAUGGCCCUUGUGACCUAGCCUUGGAAGUCACAGAGCAUCACCUUCUAUAUACUCUACUGAUCAAGUCAGCCUAAAGGUCUGUUCAGGUUCAGUGGGGAGACACAUAGACCCCAUUUCUUGAUGAGGAAAUGAUGAAGCUCGAUAUGGGGCAAAAGAUAUUAUGUGGCUAUCUUUGGAAAAUACAAUCUGUCACACCACAAUAACAGCUUUGGAAUUUACUCUGAGUGAAAUGGGAGCCCAUUGUAGUGUUGUCAGCAAAGGAAUGACUUAAAUUUUCAAUAGAUCGUUCAGUCUUUUUUGUUGAAAAUAGACUGUAUUGAGCAAGGGUUGAAAUAGGUUGAACAGUAAAUAGGCUAUUGUUAUAAUGAGGUGAGAUGUGAAAAUGACUUGGACCAGAGUUGUAACAGAGGAGAUGGUGAGGAGUAGGAGACUUUGAAUAUAUUUUGAAGGUAGAGCCAACAGGAUUUGUUGAGAUAUUACGAGCGGGGUGUGUGAGAAAGAGAGGAGUCAUGCAUAAAUCCUUGAUGUCCCUUCAGAGAGUAUGUCCCCUCUCUGCUAUAAAUGACUAGUUUUUAUUAGAUGCUAUCACCAUAAAAAAUUCAAAAAUGAACGAAAUACCAAAACAAAACCUGUUCGAAUGCAGCAGAAAGUUCCCAGUGCAGCCAGGAUUUGGGGAUGCAAGACGUCAAAGGGCAGGGAAACUCGUGAAAGUGAGCCCAACAUCUCAUACUAUUUUUUCCUUUGAGUCAUUUGCCAGUUUAUGAAUGGGGCAUGUCUGAAAGCUCAGAAGCUGAGCAGAAAUAUGAGGCUAACUGGCCAAGAAGCUGGUCAAAGUUGACAGUAAUCUCAAGGGGUUAAAGAGACAAAAACCGGAAUUCAAGGCUAUAAACGUAGCCAAGAGUAGAGGGAGCAAGAUCCCAGACAGCAGGAACGUGCAAAAAAAGGUACUCCAAAAAAGUGAGCUAAACAUUUGGUGAUCCUUUUCCUUUUAUGAAGACAGUUUACAAAAGGCCUAGAGGCUGAGAAGAAAAAGACAAAAGUGACUGAAAGGCUAAGAAGUUAAGCAGGACUUUUAAAAGUCUCAUAAUAUUUAUGAAGUCCAGAGGUUGCUAAGGAUGAGAGACCUUAAUAAACAUCCUAGAUUUGCAGUAAAUACCUGACAGGGCUAUAGCUAGGAGUAAAAGAAAACCUGAAACAAAUUAGCAUUCACAAAAUUGACAACUCAGCAUAGAAUCACCUUGAUACCAGGCUAAGUUAGGACGAUCUGCUUCUAUUCUAACUGCCUGCCAGAAGCAGAAAUGCAUUCUCCACAUAUCAUGCAGAACCUCCACAAUUUUUCAUAAACAAUAUUUAUAAUGUAAGCAAUAGUUGUCAGGUCCAGGUAUACUAAAGGACAGGAGUAAGAAAAAAAACAGACGAUACAAAUAGACCUACAGGUAAUCAACAUUAAAUUGAUGAAAAUAGACUUUAAAACAACUGGGUUUAGUGCAUUCAAGAUAAUUGAUGAUAAAGUAAAAAUUUCAGCAGAAGACUGAAAGCCAUUAAAAAAUAGAAAUUCUGGAAUUAAAAUACAACAAAUUGAAUUUAAAAACUUAAAAGAUAUAUUUAAUAGAAUACUAAAUAGAGAUAAAGAGGAAUUAAUGAACUAAAAGACAAAUAAGAGAAAAAUGACCAGAGAGAGAGAAUAUAGCAAAGAAUGUAAAGACAUAUACAUGGUCAAAAGGUCUAAACUGUAUGUUAUUAGAUUCCUAGGAGGAGAAGAAUGAGAAAAAGAAAUAUUGUAUCAAAAAUAAUGGCAUUAAGUUUCUAAAACUGAUGAAAACCCUCAAGCCACUGAUUCACGAAGCACUAUGAAUUCAAAAGGAACAUAAAGAAAACUACACUGAGUCUUAACAGUAAAACUACUGAAAUAAAACAACAAGAAAAUAUUGAAAAAAAAAUAGCUGGAGAUAAAGAAAACAAUAGCUAGAAAUAAGUUACCUCAGACAAUAAAAUUAUAUCUGAUUCUUCAGUAGAAACAAUGUAAGCCAGAAGACAAUGGAAUGACAUCUUUGCUAAAACAAAAUAACUGCCUACCUAGAAUUCUAUACUUAGGGAAAAUACUCUUUAAAAAUAACAAAAGUUGGCCAGGUAUGGUGGCUUGCACCUGUAAUCCCAGCACUUUGGGAGGUUGAGGCAAGUGGAUCACUUGAGGUCAGGAGUUCGAGAUCAGCCUGACCAACAUGGUGAAACCCCAUUUCUACUAAAAAAUAAAAAUACAAAAUUAGACAGACAAGGUGGCACAUGCCCAGAAUCCCAGCUACUUGGGAAGCUGAGGCAGGAGAAUCACUUGAACCCAGGAGGUGGAGGUUGCAGUGAACCAAGAUCACACCAUUGUACUCCAGCCUGGGCAAGAAGAACAAAACUCCAUCCCUCCAAAUGAAUAAAGAAAUUAAUUUUUUUUAAUUAAAAAAAAAGGAGUAAACAAGUGGCCAAGAAAUACAUGAAAACAUGUUCAACAUUUCUAAUCAUCAGAUAAAUGCAAAUUAAAACCAUAGUGAGAUACCAUGUUACACCAGUCAGAAUAACUAUUAAAAAGUCAAAAGACAACAGGUGCUGAUGUGGAUGCAGAGAAAAGGGAACACUUAUACACUGUUGUAAAUUAGUUCAACCUCUGGAAAACAGCAUGGAGAUUUCUCAAAGAAAUAAAAAUAGAACUGUCACUCAGCUCAGCAAUUCCAUUACUGGUUAUCUACACAAAGAAAGAGAAAUCAUAUUUAAAACAAGACACCUGCACUUGUGUGUUCAUUGCAGCAGUAUUCACAACAGCAGCCAUGGGACUAACCUAAGUGUCCCCCAUUGGUUGACUGGAUAAAGAAAACGUGGUAUGUACACCAUAGAAUACCACAAAGCUAUAAAAAAAGAAUGAAAUCAUGUCUUUUGCAUCAAGAUGGUUGUAGCUGGAGGCCAUUAUCCUAAGUGAAUCAACAUAGAAACAGAAAACCAAAUACUGCACGUUUUCACUUAUAAAUGGGAGCUAAACAAUGGGUACACAAAGCCAAAAAGAUGAAAAUAAUAGA